UGGGGAAUAUUGGACAAUUGGCGAAAGCCUGAUCCAGCCAUGCCGCGUGUGUGAAGAAGGUCUUCGGAUUGUAAAGCACUUUAAGUUGGGAGGAAGGGCAGUAAGCGAAUACCUUGCUGUUUUGACGUUACCGACAGAAUAAGCACCGGCUAACUCUGUGCCAGCAGCCGCGGUAAUACAGAGGGUGCAAGCGUUAAUCGGAAUUACUGGGCGUAAAGCGCGCGUAGGUGGUUCGUUAAGUUGAAUGUGAAAGCCCCGGGCUCAACCUGGGAACUGCAUCCAAAACUGGCGAGCUAGAGUAGGGCAGAGGGUGGUGGAAUUUCCUGUGUAGCGGAGAAAUGCGUAGAUAUAGGAAGGAACACCAGUGGCGAAGGCGACCACCUGGGCUCAUACUGACACUGAGGUGCGAAAGCGUGGGGAGCAAACAGG
rnacentral:rRNA from 1 species